UUUACUUGUUCGUUUCCCACAAGAUCGUGCUUUUCUCCAGAUAACGCAUGGAAUUUAUAAACUAAGUGUCCAUUGGUUGCAGCGACCAUGUGAUGCUGUGAAAAAGUUCAGAGGAUAGGUGUAUAUAGCUUCACACUGUGUUAAGUCAUUCUUCUUAUCUAAGACGGUAAGUGGAACUGAUAGACGUUUAAUCGUGUAAGAGGUGUGAGUGUUAUACCGUGGUGGUUAUGACAUAUGGGGGAGACUUAGAUUUCAUUGAAAUUCUACAGUUAAACUGAAAUCAGCUUCCUAAGGUACCCAAGUAUCUCGAGUAUCGAGCAUCUUCACACUUAUAUGGGGUCGCGGAUCCAUUUGUGUUUCGGUACAUACGGGUACGUGCACUGACAAUGUGCCACGGUCUGUAUAUUAUCAUUACCGGUGAAGAUAGCGAAGGGUGGCCCUGUCAUCCGAGGCGUUGAACGUGGUUUGGUUGGGUUGUUGUUUGCGCCGCAGUCAGCAAUACUCCAGCAAUAUGGUGAACUGUGCUUGAACGUCGCCUUUAAGAUUCCUCGCUCAUGUAUAUGUCUCACUGUUUCUGUAGUGUGUUUGUCUCCCAUUUAGUACAAGCCACGCCGUAGUGGAACACACCACGUUCCACUGCAGCUUGGCUUGUACCAGUUGAGAAAAAAGUCACCACGUUCCACUACAGCGUGGCUUCUACUAGCUGGGAGACAACGCUGUAGUGGAACGUGGUGUGUUUGUCUCCCAGCUGGUACAAGCCAUGCUGUAGUGGAACGUGGUGUGUGUGUGUGUGUGUGUGUGUGUGUGUGUGUGUGUGUGUGUGUGUGUGUGUGUGUGUGUGUGUGUGUGUGUGUGUGUGUGUGUGUGUGUGUGUGUGUGUGUGUGUGUGUGUGUGUGUGUGUGUGUGUGUGUGUGUGUGUGUGUGUGUGUGUGUGUGUGUGUGUGUCCCAGCUAGUACAAGCCAUGCUGUAGUGGCACGUGGUGUGUUUGUUUCCCAGCUAGUACAAGCCAUGCUGUAGUGGAACGUGGUUUGUGUGUGUGUGUGUGUGUCUCCCAGCUAGUACAAGCCACGCAGUAGUGGAACGUGGUGGGUUUGUUUCUCAGCUAGUACAAGCCAUGCUGUAGUGGAACGUGGUGUGUUUGUCUCCCAGCUAGUACAAGCCACGCUGUAGUGGAACGUGGUGUGUUUGUCUCCCAGCUAGUACAAGCCACGCAGUAGUGGAACGUGGUGUGUUUGUCUCCAAGCUAGUACAAGCCACGCAGUAGUGGAACGUGGUGUGUGUGUUUGUGUGUCUCCCAGCUAGUACAAGCCAUGCUGUAGUGGAACGUGGUGUGUUUCUUUCUCAGCUAGUACAAGCCAUGCUGUAGUGGAACGUGGUGUGUGUGUGUGUGUGUGUGUGUGUGUGUGUCUCCCAGCUAGUACAAGCCAUGCUGUAGUGGAACGUGGUGUGUUUGUCUCCCAGCUAGUACAAGCCACGCAGUAGUGGAACGUGGUGUGUUUGUCUCCAAGCUAGUACAAGCCACGCAGUAGUGGAACGUGGUGUGUGUGUUUGUGUGUCUCCAAGCUAGUACAAGCCAUGCUGUAGUGGAACGUGGUGUGUUUGUUUCUCAGCUAGUACAAGCCAUGCUGUAGUGGAACGUGGUGUGUGUGUGUGUGUGUGUGUGUGUGUGUCUCCCAGCUAGUACAAGCCAUGCUGUAGUGGAACGUGGUGUGUUUGUCUCCCAGCUAGUACAAGCCAUGCUGUAGUGGAACGUGGUUUGUGUGUGUGUGUGUGUCUCCCAGCUAG
rnacentral:lncRNA from 1 species